AAUAACGUAGACGAAAGUUACGCUAAUACCGCAUAUUCUGUGAGCAGGAAAGAGGGGGAUCGCAAGACCUCUUGCUUUAGGAGCGGCCGAUGUCGGAUUAGCUAGUUGGUGAGGUAAAGGCUCACCAAGGCGACGAUCCGUAGCGGGUCUGAGAGGAUGAUCCGCCACACUGGGACUGAGACACGGCCCAGACUCCUACGGGAGGCAGCAGUGGGGAAUUUUGGACAAUGGGCGCAAGCCUGAUCCAGCCAUGCCGCGUGAGUGAAGAAGGCCUUCGGGUUGUAAAGCUCUUUCGGUGGGGAAGAAAUUGCUUCGGUUAAUACCUGGAGUAGAUGACGGUACCCGCAUAAGAAGCACCGGCUAACUACGUG
rnacentral:rRNA from 1 species